CGGACAAUGAGCUGCCGCCCGCCCCUCCGGCCGCGCUUUAAUCUCAUCUUCCCCCCCCCCCUCUCCCCCUAUUGAGAGCAGCGAGACGUGGGUUUCCAGCUUUCCUAGUGUGAAAAACGAAGCGAAAUGACAUCUUCGGUAGCACGGCGGGGAGAGGGGAGGUGGUCUCGAGUGGAGAGGAGCCCCUGGCCUGGCUGGAAUCCCCUCUGUGGGAUGCGCAGCUCGGGUCUGCGUCUCGAAAUGUGGGGUCUGCAUCGUGGAAAUGGGGUUCCCUCCGUGGGGCUGUUCAUAGCGUGUCCUGUAAGCACAGGAGCUGCCCCUAUCCCCGUUUGAUGGCAGGUCUCUCCUGGCUGUAACACCGAGUGACUGUCCUCCCCCCCUUCACACAGGGAAUAUUUAACAGCGUUACGAUGUUGCCCUUUGCCCCUAACUUGCUUCUCUUUGAAAGACACAGAUAAACAGUGGCUGAAAAGCUGCGUUUUAGGUGAUGCCACCCUCUCCUCGUUUUCACACGAGGUUCUUUGAGGAAAGAGAAGAGCGUGUCUCUCUGCAGGAGAGACUUUGGGAAGUUUGAAUGGAUUCACGACGCGCUGGGUGACGCGGGUACAGGCAGUCUGCUCAGCGGGAGCGCCGUGUUCUCCAGCAUCCCUGCAAUUUGCGCCCACACAUGAGCUGUUAGAACCCUUGGCGUUACCCUGAGAACUGGGAAGGCUCAAAAAACCCCACCUAAACCCAUAAAUUCCCCCCUUUUGUGUUUAGCGGAGCCCCUCUGUUGGUGUCCGGGGUUCCUAACCUGAGUGAGUGAGUGAACACGGGGCUUUGGAGGCACAAGUUGUGCUGCAGGGAUGGUGGGGUCAGCACAGGAUGGUGCUGAGCACCUGUGGUUUAAGAGUGGGGGGCAGUUGGAUGAUAAGUUUGACUUUUCUGUCAGAAACACCAGCAUUUCUCACGAGUGUUGUACUCCAGGGUGACAUAUAUUGUCAUCUUGUUGGGUUGGAAAUUAGCGAAAUCUUCUUCUGUUUUGACAGACGGGCUCCUCCUCGCCUCUGAAGUUGACUCGUGUUUAAAGCACAGAUCCCAGCACUUCCCUUUUGCAGCCCUGAAAGGGGAAGGAUGGCACAGCAGACCAAGCGCUGACGGUUCCUCUGCCCAGCGUGGGCAGGGCAGUUGGGACCUGGGACUGGUGCUGUCACCCUGCCCGUGCCAGAGCAGAGAUGGGUCUGGCAGAAUUUGCUGCCACAAGCUCCUUGGCCUUGUUGAGAAGCGUCCUGGAGGGCAGGACUUCUUGCUGUGAUGUAGGAGGGUGCCACGGAGCAUCUGCGCAGCUCUCCGGGGGUGAGGCAUAUUUGACACCGAAUCCCUUUCAGGAAAAGGGAUUGUCUUCCCUGUCCCCUGCCCCGGCCUCUUCUCACGUCCCUGACGGGGAGGGACAAGUUCAGCUGAGUGGUUGGACGUGUCCCUGGCUUCUCAAAGAGCAGCACAGCUGCUACUGCGGGAUGAUGUCUCUGCAAGAGACCUGUGGAGAGGUAUUUGGGUCCAAAUUACUCAUGGGCUGCAUCAGAGUGGAAAGAUGACCUAAAGCAGGAUCCACAGAAGUGAUUGCAUCGAGUUGUCAUGUUUCAGAUGAUGCUUAAAAGAAUCCUGAUGGCCCAUCGCCAGGAGCCACAGCUGAAAUCUGUCUGCUGCCUGCUUUGGUUGUGCAGUGAACCUUUCCAUUUGGAACGUCAACUCUUUACAUUUAAUAUUUCAGAGUCUUGUAUAACACUGGAAUCCUCCACUGGAGGAUGAGACACAGUUUUGUCUCUCCCUGAUGUUAGUGGUGUCUUCUGGUUGUGUUGUGCUUCCUCUUGGGUCACGAGCAACUAUUAUAUUGUUAAAACUCCUUCUCCCAAACUGAGAGAUGCACUUAGGUAAGGGUUUCGCUGAGAGUCACUUUGCUUAAGAGAACUUUUCAGUGCUUCAGGAAAGCUGAAGAGAGCUUGGAGACAGUGUUCUAGCAGCAGUGAAAACAUUAAGGCCAAUUUUCUUCUCCUUCCAGUGCAAUAGUCCGUGGCAGAGACGCAUCAUUAAAUAAAAUGAUGCUGUGUGUGAGUUAAUGGAUGGCACUUCUGCUUUCUUUGCAGUCCCCAGGUGAAAAUGAGAGAUUCCUUUAUUUUUCUUGUAGAUUAUUGUUAAUCUUUCAGUUUCCCACCCCCUCAAUUUUAUUUUAUUUUAUGGUACCAAGCAAUACCUGAAGUGUGGCAUCCCUGAAUUAUCUGCUGUGAAGCAGCCACGGACGGUCCCAGUCACCCAUGACCUGACCCUGUGUGAUGCACGGUGAUCUGCUGCAGGGUGAGAACAUAAAGCCCAUGGAGAAAUGAUGAAUGGAACUGAAACAUGAGGUCUCAGUGAUUCCUUACCCCUUUUUUCCUUGUACCUCGGUGUGAUUUAUUAUUAGGCAAAAUCAGACUCGUAAUUUCUGUCGAGGCUGCUGGAUGUAGGUCACUGCUGGCCUGACUUGGUGAGGUUUGCUGUGGUCAGGCUGCAGUGGUGGGGCUGGGAGUGAGGGCUGUCUCGCCUGCUGCAAAUUCCACUUUUAAGACUAAUCUUUAGGCAAGAUGCCGAGUUGGUGGCUGGCUGCCUUAAUUCAGCGAGGAAAUCACAGGUGAGCCAGGCUGGAGAGUGAGGAGUACUAGUGGCAUUUCAUGGAGCAGGUUACCUUUAAAACAAAUUAACAAACCUCACUCCUGACCCCAGCUUCAAAGCAGGAGAUCCUCCCCUGGGUUGGUGAGCUUUGGAAGGGCUGGAAGAGCUUCUCAGGGCUCGUGAAUUUGCCCCUCUCUGGCAGCCCCGUUUCUGGAGCGUCCUCGGUGCUUUGGGGCACGUUUGCAAAACGCUCUCAGUCUCACUCUCAGCCUCAUCAGAUAAUCUGUGAGUGAUGGCUCCUCUGAUGGAGAAGGAGGAAGGAGGCUGGUGCUUUCGUGGUUUAUCAUUCUGGUAAGAUGCCUGUGGUGGAAUUAGGGCAGGUCUCAGAGCUGGUAACUGAGCAGUUCUGUGGCCGAGCGAGCUCAUGGAGCUGGUGGCCUUGUGCUCUCUCUCCCACCGUGGGGAGAGGUUUCUUACAGAGGUGUUCAGGGGAGCAAAGAGCCCUGUUCCCUGCAGCUCUGAUUGAGAUCAAAUACUUUGUCCCCCAGAAAAUCCAGCUGGGAAAAUAUCCCUGAAGUGAGGGAGUAGAUGAAGAUCCUGAGCUUAUAUUCAUGGAAAACAGCUCACCGUGUGUUUGCUGUACUUCUGUCCCUCUCUCAGUGGGAAGAUUUUUUUUUUUUUUUAAUUAACUCUACCAUGUAUUUAAUAUAAUCAGAAAUGUCUUCACUGUGGCCUUCUGUGCAAGCUGUGGUUGAAAAGCUGUGGAAAGUGUGGUGACAUCACUGGGACUUUUCCAAAGCAGCGGUUUAUUAUCUCAUUGACCAAAGGAGUCUACUGACUCGGGGUUUGAGUUUGUUUAAAAAAUGUAGGAUUUGCCAUAAUCCCUUCUAAAUACUUUACAUGUUCUGAGCAGUCAGACCUGAGACUGCCAUGGGCUGAUAACAGCCUGGGAGCAGGGGCUUGCUUUUCACUUUGGUACGUGCUCAGGAAGUGGUGGGGCUCUUCCUCUUAGUAAUAAUCUAAUGCCAUCAACCCCAGGUCCUGCAAAAGAAGUUUCCCAUGUUUUCAGAGGCGGGGAACUGAGAUGCAGUGAUUUACUGAAGGUCUUGCAGCCCGCCAGAGGCGACACCGGGCUGAGAAACUGAGCUGCUGGUGUCCUGCUGAACACAAAUACAGCCCCUGUGUGUGUGUGAUUUAAUAGCCAAGUACAACCAGGUAAAAGGGUGAUUUUUGUCAUUCACACUGAACUCCCAUUUGUGCUGUCAGGAGAGCCCAGUGUAUGGGACAGCACUGGCUUGUGGGGCUGUGGAGGUGGUGGCUCUGCCUCAGGUAGCGACCGGCACAGAGCAGGCACUGGGAUUUAUCAGACACGUGCUCCAGAGCGUUCAAAACAGUGUAUAAAGAAUAAUUUGAAGCUGUGCAGACUGGGAGCCAGGUCUCCUAGCGUGCUUGGUGGACAAUGGGUAGGCACAGGUGAUGAAAACUCCCAGAAAUUUCCUGCCAGGGAAGCCUGAAAGAGCGAGUUGAUGACCUCUCUCUUCCCAGAAACAUCCAGGAUGUGCUCUGGUAUCUGAUGAGAUGGGUGAACUCUUGAUGUCUUGAAGGGUGGUGCAGGUUAUGUGGGAGGCAUCCAGAGGAGUGGCCGGAUUGGAAGUGGCUGUUGAGCCAUCCCUGUGGCACGGACAGCAGUGUGACUUGGAGUUUAUGUUCUGGCAUCUCCUGAGCCUUCCUGGUGGGCUCGCGUGCCCCAUACCGGGGUGGUCUAAGGGCUUUGCAGCAGAGACAGCAGCUAACGCCAUUUUCCAACCCAUCCUUUUGCUGUGGUUUUCACUGUCUGCUGAGAAGCUGAGAGGAAAGAGCCCUCCUUCAUUAAGAAACCCUUUCCUCCCCCUAGCUCCCACCAUAACCGGCUCCCCGACCUGCAGGCGGCCCUCGCUGCAGAAGUCAGGCUCCUCUCCAAGCACAACUGGCCCCGCGCGUCUGGCCUCAAGUUGCAGCAUUCAGGCAGCAUGACCUCACCUCCUGGUUUCCAAGAAUAACGUGCUGCCUCCCCUGCGCCGCGCCGGGACUGUCUGCAGUGGCUGCCCUGGCACGAGGACUGUGUGCAUGACUGGUGCCUGGAGGCUCAUUUUGG